rnacentral:rRNA from 1 species
AACAAAAACAUAGCUUAAUGUAUAUAUAUUAAGUUAAUUCUGCCCAGUGUAUUUUAUUAACGGCCGCAGUACCUUGACUGUGCUAAGGUAGCAUAAUAAAUUGGCUAUUAAUUGUAGUCUGGAAUGAAUGGGAUUUUGGGUGUAAGCUUUAUUAAUAAAAUUAAUUUUAAUUUAUUUAUUAGGUGAAAAUACCUGUAUGUAUAAAAAAGACGAGAAGACCCUUAGAAUUUUUAAAAAUAUAAUUAAAAAUUAUUAAUUUUUUGUUGGGGCGACAAAAAAACAAUUAAACUUUUCUUAUGUUUAAACACUAUUUUGACGAAAUUUUUAUGUAUAAAUAAAUUACCUUAGGGAUAACAGCAUAAUGAUUAAAUUACGUUUGUGACCUCGAUGUUGGACUAGGAAGUCUA